GGGGGCAGCAGUGGGGAAUUUUGGACAAUGGGCGCAAGCCUGAUCCAGCCAUGCCGCGUGCGGGAAGAAGGCCUUCGGGUUGUAAACCGCUUUUGUCAGGGAAGAAACGCUAUGGGCUAAUACCCUGUGGUAAUGACGGUACCUGAAGAAUAAGCACCGGCUAACUACGUGCCAGCAGCCGCGGUAAUACGUAGGGUGCAAGCGUUAAUCGGAAUUACUGGGCGUAAAGCGUGCGCAGGCGGUCUUGCAAGACAGAUGUGAAAUCCCCGGGCUUAACCUGGGAACUGCAUUUGUGACUGCAAGGCUAGAGUACGGUAGAGGGGGAUGGAAUUCCGCGUGUAGCAGUGAAAUGCGUAGAUAUGCGGAGGAACACCGAUGGCGAAGGCAAUCCCCUGGACCUGUACUGACGCUCAUGCACGAAAGCGUGGGGAGCAAACAGGAUUAGAUACCCUGGUAGUCCACGCCCUAAACGAUGUCAACUGGUUGUUGGGAAGGUUCCUUCUCAGUAACGUAGCUAACGCGUGAAGUUGACCGCCUGGGAGACGCCCGAC
rnacentral:rRNA from 1 species